AACGAACGCUGGCGGCAUGCCUAACACAUGCAAGUCGAACGGGAUCCUGGUUUCGGCCAGGUGAGAGUGGCGGACGGGUGAGUAACGCGUGGGAACCUGCCCAGUGGUGGGGGAUAACUGCGGGAAACUGCAGCUAAUACCGCAUGAGCCCGCAAGGGGAAAGAUUGAUCGCCAUUGGAGGGGCCCGCGUUCGAUUAGGUAGUUGGUGAGGUAACGGCUCACCAAGCCUACGAUCGAUAGCUGGUCUGAGAGGAUGAUCAGCCACACUGGGACUGAGAUACGGCCCAGACUCCUACGGGAGGCAGCAGUGGGGAAUAUUGGACAAUGGGGGCAACCCUGAUCCAGCAAUGCCGCGUGAGUGAUGAAGGCC
rnacentral:rRNA from 1 species